UGGACACCGUUAAUUGCACUGUUGGUCGUCCCCUCAAGUGAAAAGGCUUCCCGCCCCUAAUUGCCCCAAAUGGCUGUUCGAUCAAACCCUAAUUGAGCUUGUUGCUUCCACUGCAAUCAUCAAAUUCACCCAAACCCCUCAAGAUUUCUGCAAUUGAGAGUGUCGCCCGUGAUCUUCUGAAGUUGCAAUCGUGGUUCUUGGUCGUUUUCCGGUGAGCAGCACCUGGGAUCAACCGCUGCAGAAGUUGGCUCGAGCGCUCGAAGGCUGAUCUACUGCGUUGCACAUGGGCAGGAGGCCAGUUCAAUUCCUGAUUUUUGGUCGUUUGUGCGGUUUUGGGUUGUUUUUUGGGGGUUUGCACAUGGUUGUUCAGGGAAACUCCUUGCCUUUCCUUCUCCUGUUACUAGCAAAUCAUGAGCUUAAUGUUGGAUAACCAAUUGCAUAUUUUCCUUGCAAAGUAAUAUAAAGGGCCCGAUAUUCCGAGUGAUGAUUUGGCAAAUACGUAACCUAGCCGGAUCGUGUGGCAUUGGUAUUGAUUGAUUGAAUGUGCUCGAACUUCUGAAUUCCAGAGAUAGAAAUGGACUUAUGAGGAAAAAAAAUAAGCAAGUUUAUCGAGAUUCUGUUUUCGUGCUUUUCUCCUGAUAAAUCUAUUGCCAUAAUGAAGAUUAAUGGAACUUUUUAUCUCUUCACGCAUUUCUCUUCACUGCCGUUUUCUCAAUGUACUUGCAAUUUCUAGGUGCGAGUGAAUGGACCUAAUGCAGCUCCGGUGUAUAAGUUCCUUAAAUCAAAUGCAAGUGGAUUUCUUGGUUCUAGAAUAAAAUGGAACUUCACCAAGUUCCUGGUCAACAAGGAAGGGCAAGUCAUCAAGCGCUAUGGUCCAACUACCUGCCCAUUAGCUAUUGAGGCGGACAUAAAGAAAGCAUUGGGAGACGGAUGAAGCACAUGAUUUUGCCAGAACAGAGCUUGAGUAAAAGAUGUGUUAAAAGCGACAAAGUGUGCAAGAGAGUUGUAAUUGCUGCUAGUUUGGUCAAACUCUCGUCUUGUUUUGUUUUGGUGUGGGGAUAUACCAGCUUGUCGCGGAGCUUUCGUACUCCGUGGUGUCUGUAUUAUAUGUAUAUCUCGUCUUGUCAGUCUUGGGAUGAUGAGUAGAAAGGCCUUUGUAUGAUUCUGUUUUCAAUUGAACACUGCGGAAUGGACUUAGGAUUUUGUCAGAAAUAAUGCUCUUGUUCAUAAAAUCAUCAGUAAGGAAACAGAAAAGAUCAAGUUUUUGUGCGUA